CGACCCAUUUCACGAACCGGGAAGCCCCGACGCUGACCCGACGGUAUCUCCACUGUCCGGCUGUGUCUUGGUGUCGGAUCAGCGGCGUCUUCACCUUGGCGGCACGAAGAUGAACAUGGCCUUGGUUUGGUCAAUUGACGACGGCAGAUGACGAGUUGAGCUCGAAAACUCUUGCUUUAUUGGCGGUUUUGAUGCGUUUUCCGGCAGCUUCGAUCGCCGUUGGCUGCAAGUGAGAUUCGGUGUUUUAGGCGGCUUCGGCCGGGUCGAUCAAUACUACAGCGGCUGGGAUAGUCAAGGAUUACUGCCGCCGCUGGAAAGUUGCUGCUGGGAUUUAGGAGGGAUCGGCGACCAACCACUGGCAUCUAUAUGUGGUUUUUAUUCUUGUUUAAUUGGCAGUUGCUUUCUACUUUGACCACAUGGUUUCAAGGUUUAAAGUGGUUUUGAUUCUGUAUGUACCCAAACAAAGAAGUUGAAUGAGAAUAAAUCAGUUUUGAAGCUCUGUUCAUA